rnacentral:rRNA from 1 species
GACGAACGCUGGCGGCGUGCUUAAUACAUGCAAGUCGAGCGGUAAGGCCCUUUCGGGGGUACACGAGCGGCGAACGGGUGAGUAACACGUGGGUGACCUGCCUCUAGCUCUGGGAUAAGCCCGGGAAACUGGGUCUAAUACUGGAUAUGACUCCAUGACGCAUGUUGUGGGGUGGAAAGCCUUGUGCGGCUAGAGAUGGGCCCGCGGCCUAUCAGCUUGUUGGUGGGGUGAUGGCCUACCAAGGCGACGACGGGUAGCCGGCCUGAGAGGGCAACCGGCCACACUGGGACUGAGAUACGGCCCAGACUCCUACGGGAGGCAGCAGUGGGGAAUCUUGCGCAAUGGGCGAAAGCCUGACGCAGCGACGCCGCGUGAGGGAUGACGGCCUGGUGUAA